UACGUAGGGGGCUAGCGUUGUCCGGAAUCAUUGGGCGUAAAGAGCGUGUAGGCGGCCCGGUAAGUCCGCUGUAAAAGUCAAAGGCUCAGCCUUUGAAUGUCAGUGGAUACUGCCGGGCUAGAGUCCGGAAGAGGCGAGUGGAAUUCCUGGUGUAGCGGUGGAAUGCGCAGAUAUCAGGAGGAACACCGGUGGCGAAGGCGGGAUCCUGGCCUGUUCUUGACGCUGAGGCGCGAAAGCUAGGGGAGCAAACGGG
rnacentral:rRNA from 1 species